GCAUAUCAAUAAGCGGAGGAAAAGAAACCAACAGGGAUUGCCUCAGUAACGGCGAGUGAAGCGGCAACAGCUCAAAUUUGAAAUCUGGCGGCCUCUGGGCCGUCCGAGUUGUAAUUUGAAGAGGAUGCUUUUGGCGAGGCGCCUUCCGAGUGCCCUGGAACGGGACGCCACAGAGGGUGAGAGCCCCGUAUGGUUGGACGCCGAGCCUCUGUAAAGCUCCUUCGACGAGUCGAGUAGUUUGGGAAUGCUGCUCAAAAUGGGAGGUAAACCCCUUCUAAAGCUAAAUACUGGCCAGAGACCGAUAGCGCACAAGUAGAGUGAUCGAAAGAUGAAAAGCACUUUGAAAAGAGAGUUAAAUAGCACGUGAAAUUGUUGAAAGGGAAGCGCUUGCGACCAGACUUGUGCCCGUCGAAUCAGCCGCCGCUCGCCGGCGGCGCACUUCGGCGGGCUCAGGCCAGCAUCAGUUCGCUGCAGGGGGAGAAAGGCGGCGGGAAUGUGGCUCUUCGGAGUGUUAUAGCCCGCCGCGCAAUACCCCUCGGCGGACUGAGGACCGCGCAUCUGCAAGGAUGCUGGCGUAAUGGUCGUCAGCGACCCGUCUUGAAACACGGACCAAGGAGUCGUCCUAAUAUGCGAGUGUUCGGGUGUAAAACCCCUGCGCGUAAUGAAAGUGAACGGAGGUGAGAGCUUCGGCGCAUCAUCGACCGAUCCUGAUGUUCUCGGAUGGAUUUGAGUAAGAGCAUAUUGGGCCGGACCCGAAAGAAGGUGAACUAUGCCUGUAUAGGGUAAAGCCAGAGGAAACUCUGGUGGAGGCUCGCAGCGGUUCUGACGUGCAAAUCGAUCGUCAAAUAUGGGCAUGGGGGCGAAAGACUAAUCGAACCUUCUAGUAGCUGGUUUCCGCCGA
rnacentral:rRNA from 1 species